CGCUCCGCGUGCUCGCACCGUACCUAAUCCCAUCCUCUCCCCUGGUCGUCCCGAUCCACACCAGCCGCCGCACAACCCUAGCCCCUUUCCCCUCGAUCCCCAUAGCCCCUCUCUCUUCCUCGCUCUCCGCCAUGGCCUCUGCACUAGGAGCCUCUCCAUGGCCUCCUACCCAUCCCCCCCACCACCAUAGGUGCACACAGACGGUGGAUCCGUGCCGGAGAAGAGCAGCUCCAGUUAUGGUGGGGUGCAUCUGUGCCGAAGAUGAAGGAGGCCCGCCGCCCGUCUUUGCCUCGUCGCUGCGUCCUUGUUGCUGCUCCUCCUCUCUCUCUCCGCACCUAGCAGUGCAGCAGCCGGGACAAGGGGAAGGAGCAGCCCGACCCGGCUCCAUCUCUCUCCUUCAUGCAGGAGAACUGGAUGAGCAGGUGGCGAGGGAAGCCGCCACGGCUAGCGGCGGCGCUGCACAGGAACGUCCACCUCCAGGGACCAGAUCUUGGCUAUGAUCUAUGCUGCUGAUUUGGCUAUCAACUGCUAAAUCUCCGAAUCAUUCAAAAUGUUUUGCCUAACUGCACGAGCCUUGCAUAUGACCACUGGGCCAUGUCUUUUGUGAGCCCCAUAAUUCUUUUGUUCUAUUGAUGUUUUGCCUAACUGCACAAGCCUUGCAUAUGACCACUGGGCCAUGUCGUUUGUGAGCCCCCAUAAUUCUUUUGUUGUAUUGAUGUCGUAGAGUUCAGUAGAUUAGUAAAAGGGUCUUUUGAUUUUGUUGAGUUCAGUAGAUUAGUAAAGGGUCUUUUGAUUUUGUUGGCCAUAUAGGAUUUUACUACUGCUAUGGACAAAAGAAGUCUAAAGCUGGGAAAGACAACAACGUCAGGAGCCAACCAAGGUAAAGAAACCUAAGUUGACAAGCAGGGCGUACUCCCCUCGGCAGUUAUUUUUCUCUGCUAUUCAUUGAGCAUAUCAGGAGAUUGAUAGACAGUGUGAGAACUGGUACAUAAAAUAAUUUAAGAACAUUAAUCUGAAUCACAUAGUGGUUCCUAACAUUUAGCAUUUCUAAAAUUUGCCAUUUUUAGAUAGGCAGUGUGAGAACUAGUACAUAAAAUAAUUUAAGAACAUUAAUCUGAAUCACAUAGUGGUUCCUAACAUUUAGCAUUUCUAAAAUUUGCCAUUUUUACCUAGAUCCAAAAUGCUGAGAAGCAGGGUUUAUUUUCUCUCAUGUCCAUUCUUAUAUUUUUUUUACAAUGGCAUUAUGCACAUAACCUGUCUGAUGCAAUGGACAAUCGGAUAUUUGUGGUUGGUAUAAAUCAUUUUAAUGCAUAAAAGAAGAGUUGGUAGGUUUUGACAUGAGCAUGAUGGAUUAUUGCGGCCUUGUUGUUUCUUGAACAGUAGUGUGUAGAAAGUUUGUUUUGCUCUUGAAAGGUGUGUGUGAGAGUUCGAGGGAAAAAACUAUUGCUUUACUUAUGUUUCAACUCCAGUGAGGCAUGUUUGAACGGUAGUGAAAAUAUGGUGCUUAUUUUUAUUUUGCUGAUUUGAGGAUAUUGGUAGUAGAAUCUCCUUUUGGGCUGGUCUUGCGGUUCAUUCAGUUUCAAGGGGAAAGAUAGAUGUGUGGUUUCUUUGCUUUACAGAAGAUGCAUUAUAUGAUGUCUUCAUCUUGGUAACCAUUACCAAUUUUACAUUCUGUGGUGAAUUCUAAAUCAUGCUAGGCAAUGUCGUCUUUUAAUAAGUUGUCAUAUUGUACGCAUGAGUUCUCUAAAAUUCCGGGGUGGUUUAUUCUAUUAUAAAGCUAGAAAAGAAACAGCAAUGGGGAGUUGUUUAAGGACGGACAAAAGCCAUGAGUUGUUUUGCUGAGAAAAGAAACAAGUAAUAUCACAUUCUGAAGGUUCAUUUCCAUCUAUACGGGUGAGGAGUCCUUAAAAUGUGAAGUAUUGUAGGUUUCUAACCAUGUACAUAGGUCGUACACAGCUAAGCACUCGAGCUAUGAUUAUUGUUAUGUAUGGAUUAAUAGUGAUAAUCAUUGUUUGGUUCAGGCAUUGAACAGCUAAAACUAACUCAAAAGUAUAUGUUUGUUUCAAAAUAAAUGAUGUACCUAAAGAACUUUAUUGAUGAUCAGGCGUGUAUUUCGAAUGCACUGGAAUCAAAUUCAGAAUGCCUGAGGAUUGAUUUCUUCUGUUGGUCAUGUUGUAAAAAUAGGGAGCAGCUUCUUCUCACGAGCCAACCUUUUUUUUGCAGGGGAGACUCCAGGCAGAGAGAGGAAAGCUGCGCAAGUGCCCCUGGAAGCGAGGCAGCUCGGCGCCGUCGCGGAAGAGGAGCUACGCUUCCAUGGAGUAGAGCGACGAGGGGCUCCGACGUCGCUGUAGAGGAGGGAGGAGAUCCGCCGCCACUGCACCUCACAAUUCGACAGGAACCUCUCUGGAUGAUUCUGUCAAUUCGGGUGUUAUGCAUUUUUGAAAGUGUUGUGCAAUGGCAGAAAUUGGCAAGAGGAUACCUCAAGUUGGUAUGAGGUUCAUAGAUUCGGAUGAGGCUUGGGUGUUUUGGGUAGAAUAUGGUGAGGAAAAGAUGCAAGUUUGAUGGAAAAGCGACUUCACACAGAUUUGUGUGUUCCAAUGAGGGCAUUAGAAGGAAAGCACAAACUGAUCGUGAGCCAAAGCGCAAACCCUGUAUAUGUACUGAUUUUAUUUUAGCCUAUCUCUGCUCAUGUGUGCAUCUAGUUCACUCUUUGGAUUAAACUAUAGCCAAGUGUACAACUAUACUUGCCUAAUAUAUCCAGUGUUCAGUGUCAAAAUUGUCCAGUUUGAAAAGGUUCCAUUACUUUACUAGCAUUGUUUCUUCUGUAUUCACUAAUCCUGCAAGUGUAGGCUGAGAACUAUACAAUUUGGACAGGUUCCAGUGGUGUGUUGUUGCCGUACAUAAUAUGCAAUUUGGACAGUUUCUUGUGUUUUUAUUAAGCCAAAUGUGGGCUGUGAAAUAUGUAAUUUGGAAUAUCUUGAUGCUUUGCUGCUGUUGUCAUUAUGUACUAGCAUUAGCAUUUGUGAAAAUGGGCAAUCUGAAGAGGUUUUGAGUGCCAUGUCGGCCCUGUUUCUAUGCUUGUGUAGUUGUGCUUUUGCCAAGUCUGCAGGUGUGGGCUGUUUUGCUUUGGGCAAAUCUCAUGCGUUGGAUCUGCAUUGGACGGCAGAUGAGAGGGGGCCAGUUACAAUGUGACUUGCUAGAGGCAAGUCACUGGAUCUCAGUCCGCUAGGCGAUGUGUGGUAGAAGUUGUACUCACAGGAAGACUAUUGUGCUGUGUAUAAACCACGUUCUACGAUUUACUUCUGCUAUGCAUAUUUACUUUCCAGUUUUAGGACUGAAAUCCAUCCAUUGUAAUGAAUUUGGUUGUAUGGGCAUUACCUAUUUAACUUAGGCUUGCUUCAUCACAUAUAAACUGCUUUUCUUUUCCCCACUGCUUGUAUGACCUAAAACUAUCAUGUAUAUGAGCCAAGUUAUUAGCAAUGUUUCACAUUUU